UCCCCGAUAGCUCAGCUGGCAGAGCGAGUGGCUGUUAACCACUUUGUCGCAGGUUCGAGUCCUGCUCGGGGAGCCA
rnacentral:tRNA from 1 species